GUAGACACACCCCUGGUGCUCUGAGAGUGUUUAUAGUGCUGUGAGUUUAACACUUCAUGACUGAGAGCAGAACAGAACACAAUCUUCAUCAUCACACAAGACACAACAACAACAAUGAACAACAUCAUCAUCCUCAUCUGGACUCUCACACUGUUUGCUCAAGAGUGUAGAGGACAGUACACUGUAACUCAGAGUCCAUCAUUAAUAACAGCAGCUCAAGGACAAGAAGUCAGAAUAAACUGUAAAACCAGCAGUAGUGUGUGUGGUAGUAAUAACUUACACUGGUACUUAAAGAAACCUGGAGAAGCUCCUAAACUCCUCAUAUAUGAUGCAACAAACCGUUACACUGGAACUCCAUCUAGAUUCAGUGGCAGUGGAUCUAACAGUGAUUUCACUCUCACCAUCAGUGGAGUCCAGACUGAAGAUACAGGAGAUUAUUACUGUCAGAGUGUACACUGUUCUAGUAGUGUUGUGUUCACACAGUGAUAAAGAGUCGUACAAAAACCUCCGUCAGUC